GUUCCUAUAGUUAAAUUGUUAUAACGGUGGUUUUUCAGGCCAUAGAUCCUGGUUAAUGUCCAGGUAGGAAUU
rnacentral:tRNA from 1 species